GAACAACAAAAACCUAAACUCCACCAUAUUUGUCGUCUAGACACUAAGAUCUAUUCCUCUUCUAUACUAUCUACGAUCUCUUCCUCUUCAAUACUAUCUCCGAUCUCUUCCUCCUCGACUCACCAUGCCUCUCCCCGGUCGACUGCCCCACCUACCAUCUCGCUCGACCCUCUGAUUAUUGUCCGACAGGGAAUAGUAAUGUGUAUCAAAAAACCUUUCAAGUACAAUAUGGAGAUGCAGUAAUUAUGAUGAUGAUAAAGUCAAAGGACACAUAGGUCAUGCACUUUGGGAGGCUAGUGUGGCAUUUUCCAAGGUUCAUAGAUAAUAGUACGGGUUUGCACAUGUAUUACAGAGUUACCAAGCUUGUGGUUUGGGAGUUCGAGUGUUGAUGUGUUUGAUUCAUUGAUUAGAGCUUGUAUAAAGAAUGGUGAUGCUGAAGGAGCUUAUAGAGUGAUUAAGCAGACGAGAGCAGAGUGUUUUUGGGUUUCUAUUUAUGCGUUGAAUUAUUUUAUGGGCUGUUUAUUGAAUUUGAAUCUAAUUGAUUGGUUUUGGAGGGUUUAAGGGGAUGGAUUCAUUUUAAAUAUGGUCAUUUAUUCGCUUUGUAAGGAGAAUAAGUUGCUUGAAGCGUUAUCAGAUGUUGAAAUGUGGGGUUUGGCCUAA